GAAGAGAUGAAUGACGAACUCACGGAGAUGAAGACGAGGUCGGCGUCCCUGAUGGCCGAGUCGAUGUCCGUGGAGAAGAACAGAUUCCUGCCUCGGCAUGAUUCAACAACUUCCUUCAGUCCUGGCUGAAAACGGGAGGAAGUAGGAGAAUGUGUCAGUGGCUCGUGAGCGACAACUUCAGGAAUGCGUUGGGUGAAUUCAGCUCCUCGGAUGAACGGCUCCCGUCGAGAGGUCCGCUUCAGAGUGCGGAGAGUCGCGCUGUUGAGGACCAGAAGCGUCCUGGAGCAGACCGUGAGUCAGCGUCUCCGAACCCCACACCGCAGCGGGACUCCUCAGAUGAAAUGACGAUAACAAAAGCCAAACUGAGGAGUUGGUGGCCUGCAGUGAAACGAAAAUAAAGGAAGAGCAAAAAAAGUUUCUCCCGUCAGUGAUAGUCCAACGCUGGGGUCAACAGAC